rnacentral:rRNA from 1 species
UUCAUGAACUCGAGCGGUAGAGGAGCAUAGUGUGCGGGCAGAAGCCGUAGCGGGAGCAGCGGUGGACUGCACAGUAGAGAGAAUGCCGGUAUGAGUAACGAGAUGCAGGCGAGAAACCUGCACGUCGAAAGCCCAAGGUUUCCUGGGGAAGGUUCAUCCGCCCAGGGUAAGUCGGGGCCUAAGCCGAGGACAACAGUCGUAGGCGAUGGAUAACUGGUGGAGAUUCCAGUACCACCUUUAUGAGCGAAGCGCUGACACAGAAGGAUAGCAUGAGCCGGUUGAUGGUAGAGCCGGUCUAAGCGGUUAGGGGGUCGCGUAGUGAAGUACGCGCGGCGUUUGCCUGAGCCGUGAUGGGGACUGAAAUAAAAGUAGGGAAGCAUGUGAAUCCACGCUGGCAAGAAAAGGCGCUAGCAAUUGUAGGGGUGCCCGUACCGCAAACCGACGCAGGUGGGCGAGGAGAGAAUCCUAAGACGAACGAGAGAACCCUUGUUAAGGAACUCGGCAAAAUGACCCCGUAACUUCGGGAGAAGGGGUGCCUCGAAAGAGGCCGCAGAGAAUAGGCCCAAGCGACUGUUUAGCAAAAACACAGGUUUGUGCGAGAGCGAGAGCUGACGUAUACGAGCUGACGCCUGCCCGGUGCUGGAAGGUUAAGAGGAGUUGUCAUCGCAAGAGAAGCAGCGAAUUGAAGCCCCAGUAAACGGCGGCCGUAACCAUAACGGUCCUAAGGUAGCGAAAUUCCUUGUCGGGUAAGUUCCGACCCGCACGAAUGGCGUAACGACUUGGGCGCUGUCUCAACAAGGGACUCGGUGAAAUUGAAGUAUGGGUGAAGAUGCCCAUUACCCGCGACUGGACGGAAAGACCCCGUAGAGCUUUACUGCAGCUUAUCAUUGAGAAUUGGUAACGGAUGUACAGGAUAGGUGGGAGGCAAGGAAACAUCGUCGUCAGAUGGUGCGGAGCCGGCGUUGGGAUACCACUCUUCUGUUACUGGUUUUCUAACAACAUGCGAUAAUCUCGGUGAUGGACAGUGAUAGGUGGGCAGUUUGACUGGGGCGGUCGCCUCCCAAAGAGUAACGGAGGCGCCCAAAGGUUCCCUCAGAAUGGAUGGAAAUCAUUCGAAGAGUGCAAUGGCAGAAGGGAGCCUGACUGCGAGACAAACACGUCGGGCAGAGACGAAAGUCGGGCAUAGUGAUCAAGUGACAUCGAGUGGAAGAGUCAUCGCUCAACGGAAAAAAGCUACCUCGGGGAUAACAGGCUGAUCUCCCCCAAGAGUCCACAUCGACGGGGAGGUUAGGCACCUCGAUGUCGGCUCGUCGCAUCCUGGGGCUGAAGCAGGUCCCAAGGGUUUGGCUGUUCGCCAAUUAAAGCGGCACGCGAGCUGGGUUCAGAACGUCGUGAGACAGUUCGGUCCCUAUCCAUCGUGGGCGCAGGAAUUUUGAUGGGAGCUGUCCCUAGUACGAGAGGACCGGGAUGGACGCACCUCUGGUGCAACAGUUGUCAUGCCAAUGGCACGGCUGGGAAGCGAAGUGCGGAAGGGAUAAACGCUGAAGGCAUCUAAGCGUGAAGCCCCCCUGGAGAAUAGAAUUGCCACUGCUUAAAGCAGGUAAGACCCCUCAGAGACGAUGAGGUAGAUAGGUCAUCGGUGGAAGUUCGGUAACGGAUGGAGCUUGAUGAUACUAAUCGGUCGAGGGCUUGAUCG